CCUGAGCUUGGGCUGUAGAACAUUGCCAGGAAGCAUUGCCAAGGGGCCAUAGCCCUUCCCACCAGGUGCGCAGCACCAGAAGCAUUCUCCUGAUUCUGAAAGAAAAUGAUGCCAGAAAAAAAGGUUCCCUCAUAUGUGCACCAUCUCACCAUUCUUAAGAGAGAAAAUCUCACCUGCUUAACAUAAACGUAUAGAACCCCCAG